rnacentral:lncRNA from 1 species
AGGAUUUCUAGUAAGAAUUAAAGUGUCCCCGUAUCUACCGUAUCGUAUCAUGCCAGCAAGAUUUCGAUACGAUACAGUUCCUGUAUUGAUGGCACAACUCAAAACCCUCUAUUUUUUAAAUUAGUAAAUAAUUUUUUCAGUAAAGUUCAAAAAAUUUGAUAAAAAUAAAUAAUAAAUAAUUGAUAUAUUUUGUGCUUGAAGAAAAUAAAUAAUUCAUAUCAUUACGUAUCGGCACGUAUAUAUUUUUUAUGAUUGACAUUUAUCGAUAUGAUUUGACCUUGCGUAUCAUAUCAUGUUGGUAAAUUUUUAAUAUAAUCUCGUGUCACGUGUCACGACACUUAAAUUCUUACUUUCUAAGAACACGUAUAUAUUUUUUAUGAUUGACAUUUAUCGAUAUGAUUUGACCUAGCGUAUCAUAUCAUGUUGGUAAAUUUUUAAUAUAAUCUCGUGUCACGUGUUACGACACUUAAAUUCUUACUUUCUAAGAAGUUGAGGGUAUUGCAGUGUUUUAAUACUAAAGAAUUAGU